GCGUAUAAACACGUGAGAACCGUGUUCGCCGUAAAUCUAAGGUUUCCGACGCCAGGUCAUUCCGCGUCGGGUUAGUCGGCCCUUAGCCGAGGCCGAAAGGCGUAGGCGAUGGACAUCCGGUCAACAUUCCGGAACCAUCUGGAAGGAGCGAUGGGGGGACGCAGCGAGGUAGGCCAGCCUGCGAUUGGUUGUGCAGGUGCAAAACGUCUAGGUGUUGAGGUCUGUAGGCAAAUCCGCAGACUGAGCUGAAGCGUGAAUGCGAGCCCUUGAGGCGGAAGUGGUUAAGCCUUGCUGCCGAGAAAAGCCCCUAAGCGUUGAAUUCCAGAUGCCCGUACCGCAAUCCGACACCGGUAGAUGGGUAGAGUAUACCAAGGCGAACGGGAGAACCCUCGUUAAGGAACUCGGCAAUUUAACCCCGUAACUUCGGGAUAAGGGGUGCCUUCUGACGUCCGGUUUACCAAAGCGUUGGAAGGUCGCAGUGAAAUGGUUCUAGUGACUGGUUAUCAAAACCACAGGUCUCUGCAAAGCCGUAAGGCGAUGUAUAGGGGCUGACACCUGCCCAGUGCCGGAAGGUUAAAGGGAGAGGUUACCCUGAGCGCAAGCGAAGGGGAAGCUUUGAACUGAAGCCCCGGUGAACGGCGGCCGUAACUAUAACGGUCCUAAGGUUCUAUCGCGAGCCUUAGUAAAACCGAACUAUAUGCGGGAAACUCCUCCACAGCCGCGCGGUACUCGUCUGCCCUCGGGCAGGCAGUAAAAAUCCGCCGGACAUGGGGACAAUCCGCAGGGAAGACUCUUAUGACAGACAACAUUAUGAGAGAACCCUCAGAGACUUUACGUUCGGUCUCGUCCCAGAGGCUGGAAGCCCAGUGGGUGGUCGGUUUCGUGGAUGGCGAAGGGUGCUUCUAUGUAGGCAUCAACCUUCAACCUGAAAUGAAAGUUGGCUAUCAAGUGUUGCCAGAAUUUACUAUAGUGCAACACGAACGGGAUAUACAGCUGUUGUAUGCGCUCAAACAAUUCUUUGGGUGCGGUGUGGUGCGUAGCAACCACGCUGAACGGAUGGCAUAUCGGGUGAGAGGUACAAGACACCUUCGGGAGCGAAUCCUCCCGUUCUUCGAGAUGCAUCCGCUGAAAUCCAAGAAACGCCAGGAUUUUCUGAAGUUUCGCCGGAUUUUACUCCUGAUGGAGCGCGGCGAACAUUUGACCACUGAAGGCGUCGAGCGUAUCCGAGCAAUUGCCUCGAAAAUGAAUACGGGACGGGAAAGAUAAAGUCCGGCUCCUCCGGAAACGAAGUGAGAUGAACCGAGCGAAAUUCCUUGUCGGGUAAGUUCCGACCCGCACGAACGGUGUAACAACUAGAACAGUGUCUCAACGAGGGACCCGGUGAAAUUGAAAUGGCUGUGAAGAUGCGGCCUACCCGCAGUAGGACAAAAAGACCCCGUGGAGCUUUACUGCAUCUUGGCAUUGAGUUUGGGUAUGAUUUGUGUAGCAUAGGUGGGAGGCUUUGAAGCUGGGGCGCUAGCCUCGGUGGAGCCAUCAGUGAAAUACCACCCUGAUUAUGCUUAGACCCUAACCCCGCACCGUCAUCCGGGCGGGGGACCGUGCCAGGUGGGCAGUUUGACUGGGGCGGUCGCCUCCUAAAAUGUAACGGAGGCGCCCAAAGGUUCCCUCAGGGUGAAUGGAAACCACCCAAAGAGUGUAAAGGCAUAAGGGAGCUUGACUGCAAGACCAACGCGUCGCGCAGAGUCGAAAGACGGGCUUAGUGAUCCCACGAAUCUGAGUGGAAAGGUCGUGGCUACCGGAUAAAAGCUACCCCGGGGAUAACAGGCUGGUGAGAUCCAAGAGUUCACAUCGACGAUCUCGCUCGGCACCUCGAUGUCGGCUCAUCGCAUCCUGGGGCUGGAUAAGGUCCCAAGGGUCGGGCUGUUCGCCCGUUAAAGCGGUACGCGAGCUGGGUUCAGACCGUCGUGAGACAGGUCGGUCUCUAUCCACUGUGGGCGUAAGGGAUUUGAAGGGAGCUGCUCCUAGUACGAGAGGACCGGAGUGGACAGACCUCUGGUGUGCCAGUUGUCGUGCCAACGGCAUCGCUGGGUAGCUACGUCUGGCAGAGAUAACCGCUGAAAGCAUCUAAGUGGGAAACUCGCCCUAAGAUUAGAUCCCUGUAUUCCCUUAAGGGAGUAAGACCGCAGGUAGACUACCUGCUUAAUAGGCGGCGUGUGUAAGCGCAGCAAUGCGUUAAGCUAAGCCGUACUAAUGGUCGAGGGCUGAUCU
rnacentral:rRNA from 1 species